AUGAAAUCAAUAUAUUGAAAAACUUCACUCUAUUGGAUUUUUACCUAAAAUCGAUAAUAACAGUUCAUCAACGAAGACAAGAAUAUGAGGAAUUCAAAAUGGAAUUUUCCAUGUUUAAGACGAAAUACCUACACUACCUCUUCCAUUGUGUCCAAAAUUACCGGCAUUUGAGAUUAGGGCAGCGACAUUUGCCUUUUCUAGACCACUAAAUGAUACAGAAAAGAACUUUGCAAAAGAAGGAUUCAGAAAAAUGUCUGACGGAUCCAUUGAAUGUGUCUUUUGUGGAAUCGAAAAAUGUGUAAACUUGAGCAUCAAAUGGACAAUUUACGAAGUUGCAAGACUCCACAAUUCAAGCUGUUGGAUGCAAGAACAGAACCUGGAUUACAUUUGUCGGCGAAGCAUUCUGAUAAAUUCACGGAGAUCACACGG